rnacentral:ribozyme from 1 species
CAAAUUCGAGGGAAAGAUUCCUCCCACAAUUGGAUUUCUCAGCAACAUUCGGGCCCUCGGUCUCGACGAGAACUUUUUGACCGGAACGAUUCCCGAUA